GCGCAUUAGCUAGUUGGUGAGGUAACGGCUCACCAAGGCAACGAUGCGUAGCCGACCUGAGAGGGUGAUUGGCCACACUGGGACUGAGACACGGCCCAGACUCCUACGGGAGGCAGCAGUAGGGAAUCUUCCGCAAUGGACGAAAGUCUGACGGAGCAACGCCGCGUGAGUGAUGAAGGUUUUCGGAUCGUAAAGCUCUGUUGUUAGGGAAGAACAAGUACCGUUCGAAUAGGGCGGUACCUUGACGGUACCUAACCAGAAAGCCACGGCUAACUACGUGCCAGCAGCCGCGGUAAUACGUAGGUGGCAAGCGUUGUCCGGAAUUAUUGGGCGUAAAGGGCUCGCAGGCGGUUUCUUAAGUCUGAUGUGAAAGCCCCCGGCUCAACCGGGGAGGGUCAUUGGAAACUGGGGAACUUGAGUGCAGAAGAGGAGAGUGGAAUUCCACGUGUAGCGGUGAAAUGCGUAGAGAUGUGGAGGAACACCAGUGGCGAAGGCGACUCUCUGGUCUGUAACUGACGCUGAGGAGCGAAAGCGUGGGGAGCGAACAGGAUUAGAUACCCUGGUAGUCCACGCCGUAAACGAUGAGUGCUAAGUGUUAGGGGGUUUCCGCCCCUUAUUGCUGCAGCUAACGCAUUAAGCACUCCGCCUGGGGAGUACGGUCGCAAGACUGAAACUCAAAGGAAUUGACAGGGGCCCGCCAAGCGGUGGAGCAUGUGGUUUAUUUGAACCAACUCGAAAAACCUUA
rnacentral:rRNA from 1 species